ACAUAUAAAUAGCCCGCGCGUACCCUUGCUUCAUUAAACGUAUUAAAGUCAAGCACGAAGGUGAUUCUGAUACUGUCAGAAGUAAAAAAAACUUCAACAAAAUAAUUCAAAAUGAACAGUGGUCGGGACAACAACAGGACCAACCAAUGUAACCCGAAUCACACCAGGACUGGGCCUGGUCAUAAUACGGGCUACCAUGGAGCUGGGACAAAAGCAGACCUGGACAAUCAUGGCAGGCAAAUGAAUCCCAAUAACCCGCGAUAUCAAAAGUAAUCUAUUCUACGGAAUGUAUUUCUUCCAAAAUGUAUCCUAAUUAUGGUUGAUUACAUUUAAUUUGGAAUAAAAGUUAAACCUUGUA